rnacentral:rRNA from 1 species
CUGGGCUCGAACGGCUUAAGAACGACUGUAGAAAUAUGGUUUUCCCGCAAGGGACGGGAGUCGAGGUGCUGCAUGGCUGUCGUCAGCUCGUGUCGUGAGAAUGUUGGGUUAAGUCCCGCAACGAGCGCAACCCUUGUCCUGUGUUACCAUGCCGAAAGGCGGCACUCGCAGGAGACCGCCAGCGAUAAGCUGGAGGAAGGUGGGGAUGACGUCAAGUCCUCAUGGCCUUUAUGUCCAGGGCUACACACGUGCUACAAUGGGCGGUACAAAGCGCUGCGAAGCCGCAAGGUGGAGCCAAUCGCAGAAAGCCGCUCUCAGUUCGGAUUGCAGGCUGCAACUCGCCUGCAUGAAGCUGGAAUCGCUAGUAAUGCUAUAUCAGAACGAUAGCGUGAAUACGGUUCCC